ACUGGUCUCAGCGGCGUGUGCCUGUAGUCCCAGCUACUCGGGAGGCUGAGGCAGGAGGAUCACUUGAGUCCAGGAAUUCUGGGCUGUAGUGCGCUAUGCCAAUCGGGUGUCUGCACUAAGUUUGGCAUCAAUAUGGUGACCUCCCAGGAAUGGGGGACCACCAGGUUGCCUGAGGAAUGGUGAACCGGCCCAGGUUGGAAAAAUUGGAAACAAAUGCCAAUUAAUUGGGAAAUUAUUAAAUAAGCAAUGACAUAUCCAUGCAGUGAAGUACUACACAGCCGUU
rnacentral:sRNA from 1 species